UGAUAGACUACGAUGAGCGAUAUUGUUUAUCAAACAGGAUGUUCUGCUUAAACCGCUAAGCUAAGGCAAAUGCUAAGCCACAAAGGAUUGUAAAAUGCAAGGUAUACCUUAAGAUUGCCAAAUAUUCUAAGAACUAAAAGAACAGCCCACAUAAGGAAGACGAUUGCUGCCAGAGCCAAAGGGCAGAAAAAGGACACCCGAGGAAGACGUCUUACUUCAGCCUCAACGACCACCAGACGGCAGAAGAAGACCCCUUAGCAACAGCCCGAACAUGCGCAGAGUACAACCGCAUGUUAAGGAAAGCGGAACUAAAAGACCAUAAGAAGGGACUUUCCAAGCUGUUGUUUGCGGCAGUUGGUGGAGCGGUGACUCCCCUGUCGCCCAGCGCUGCACUUGCUCAUAUUCUGCUUGCUGUAACCGAGUAAUUAAUAAAUUCUAAUUAGUACUCUGAUCCAUUGUGGUCUAAAUUUAUAACAAUUUUGGUGCCGUGUGACUCGGAUAAGGAACGGUGGGCUGCGGCUCUUCGGGGAGGCGCCCCGCGCUCGUUCGCGGCCCCGUAUGAGACCAGCGGCUCAGUGCAACCUUACCGACGAACCUAAAUUCGGAAUAUUGAGCAAAGAAAGAACCGGUCAAAUCCCAUAAUAUUUUGUGCACAAAAGUCCGGACGAAGACGCGGGACGCAAACAGCAAUUCGAACUGCAGAACGUGAAUGGACACAUGCCAGUCACAUCAACGGACCAGUGAAUCCCUCACGCUGGAAAAUAAUCAGCACUCCUGGAGACACCAAACUGGUCCUGAGAAGAUAGGUUAUGACAGAGACAUUGAGCAAUUUCUUUGCUGCUAAUUUUAAUUUUUGCUGCUAAUUUUAAUUUGAAAUUAAGUGUCUACUAGCAUUUAUGGUGGCAUUCAUUCUAUCUUUGUUUGUGUAUUAUGUAUGGAAGGUUGUGAAAUAUAGCAUAUAGGAGACAAAUAGACCCAGAAUACAUUUAUAACCGAGAUAUAAGAGUAAAGUGUAAUAUACCAAGUUGUAAAUGUUAUCCAUUUAUCUGUUUUAAAUGUAAAAAGUGCCAAGAGAAAUGGUGGAAACACUGUAGAUAUGGAUAUCCUCCUAGGGGAAUCUGUGAUCAGUGCUACCAAUCAGAACGAAAUUUUACUAUUUAGACAUUA